rnacentral:pre_miRNA from 1 species
UUGCCUGGCGAGGACUCAGGCUGUGACCUGCGUUAUAUAUAAAUUCGCAUCACAGUCUGAGUUCUUGCUAGGCGG